rnacentral:rRNA from 1 species
GAUGAACGCUGGCGGCGUGCCUAAUACAUGCAAGUCGAGCGAACGGACGAGAAGCUUGCUUCUCUGAUGUUAGCGGCGGACGGGUGAGUAACACGUGGAUAACCUACCUAUAAGACUGGGAUAACUUCGGGAAACCGGAGCUAAUACCGGAUAAUAUUUUGAACCGCAUGGUUCAAAAGUGAAAGACGGUCUUGCUGUCACUUAUAGAUGGAUCCGCGCUGCAUUAGCUAGUUGGUAAGGUAACGGCUUACCAAGGCAACGAUGCAUAGCCGACCUGAGAGGGUGAUCGGCCACACUGGAACUGAGACACGGUCCAGACUCCUACGGGAGGCAGCAGUAGGGAAUCUUCCGCAAUGGGCGAAAGCCUGACGGAGCAACGCCGCGUGAGUGAUGAAGGUCUUCGGAUCGUAAAACUCUGUUAUCAGGGAAGAACAUAUGUGUAAGUACCUGUGCACAUCUUGACGGUACCUAAUCAGAAAGCCACGGCUAACUACGUG